rnacentral:rRNA from 1 species
GAUGAACGCUGGCGGCGUGCCUAAUACAUGCAAGUCGAGCGAACGGACGCGACGCUUGCUUCUCUGACGUUAGCGGCGCACGGGUGAGUAACAUGUGGAUAACCCACCUAUCAGACUGGGAUAACUUCGGGAAACCGGAUCUUAUCCCGGAUAAUCUUUUGCACCGCAUGGUUCAAUAGAGAAAGUCGGCCUUUCUGUCUCUUCUCGCUGCUUCCGCGCUGCAUUAGCUAGUUGGUACGGUCACGGCUUUCCACGGCAACGAUGCGUAACCGACCGGCGAGGGGGGUCGGCGACACGGGAGCUGAGACACGGUCCAGGCUCCUACGGGAGGCAGCAGUAGGGAAUGUGACGCAAUGGGCGAGAGCCUGACGGAGCAACGCCGCGUGAGUGAUGGAGGUGUUCGGAUCGUAAAACUCUGUUAUGAGGGAAGAACAGAUGUGUAAGGAACUGUGGAGUGCGUGACGGUACCUAGUCAGAAAGCCACGGCUAACUACGUG